UGGGGAAUUUUGGACAAUGGGCGAAAGCCUGAUCCAGCAAUGCCGCGUGUGUGAAGAAGGCCUUCGGGUUGUAAAGCACUUUUGUCCGGAAAGAAAUCCUUGGCUCUAAUACAGUCGGGGGAUGACGGUACCGGAAGAAUAAGCACCGGCUAACUACGUGCCAGCAGCCGCGGUAAUACGUAGGGUGCAAGCGUUAAUCGGAAUUACUGGGCGUAAGGCGUGCGCAGGCGGUUUGCUAAGACCGAUGUGAAAUCCCCGGGCUCAACCUGGGAACUGCAUUGGUGACUGGCAGGCUAGAGUAUGGCAGAGGGGGGUAGAAUUCCACGUGUAGCAGUGAAAUGCGUAGAGAUGUGGAGGAAUACCGAUGGCGAAGGCAGCCCCCUGGGCCAAUACUGACGCUCAUGCACGAAAGCGUGGGGAGCAAACAGGACUAGAUACCCUGGUAGUCCACGCCCUAAACGAUGUCAACUAGUUGUUGGGGAUUCAUUUCCUUAGUAACGUAGCUAACGCGUGAAGUUGACCGCCUGGGGAGUACGGUCGCAAGAUUAAAACUCAAAUGAAUUGACGGGGUCAUAGCUGUUUCCU
rnacentral:rRNA from 1 species